UAGCCGUAAACGAUACUCGCUAGGUGUCGGCCACGGUGCGACCGUUGUCGGUGCCGUAGGGAAGCCGUGAAGCGAGCCACCUGGGAAGUACGGCCGCAAGGCUGAAACUUAAAGGAAUUGGCGGGGGAGCACAACAACGGGUGGAGCUUGCGGUUUAAUUGGAUUCAACGCCGGAAAUCUUACCGGGACCGACAGCAACAUGAAGGCCAAGUUGAAGACUUUGCCGGAUUAGCUGAGAGGUGGUGCAUGGCGUAGUCGUGU
rnacentral:rRNA from 1 species